UCUCUAUCUUUUUUUAUUUUUUAUUUUUUUUGCAUAUUUCAUAUUUCAUUUGUGUUUUAGGAAAACUUGGUGGAAAUUUUGUGCAUCUUUUGUAAGGUAGAUUGGAUGGAUAGUGUUAAGAAAGAAAAAUAGUUUAUAAUGUUGUUUAUGUGCAGGAGAUGCGGAGAAUAAAUUUUUUUUUUUUAAACAAAAAGCAAAAAAAUAAAAUAAAGUAAUAAUGGGAGCAGUGCCCACACCGAGCGCGCACGGAGCAUAUUGCUCCGUGCAGACAUGGAGUUGCUUCGUGUCGCACGGAGCAUGCAACCCUCACCUCCACUCCAGCUGUUCUCCAUUUUCACACCUUCACAGCUUCGCUUCUCCCUCCCUCUCUAGAAGAAUAAACUUGUAAACACAGGACACAAUAACCCAUAAACAUUGCAAUUUUGUUAACUAUUAUUCAAUUGGUUUGGUUGAUUGAAUAAUUGUGGUCCGUCAAUGGCAUUGCAAAUUGUAAGGCGACUCGCUUGUAGCCUCCCCAAACCUUAGCCUUUUCAGUCAGCACUUCUCCUCCGAAUCCAAUCUAAUUCGCGGUAUUCUCUUCUCCAGUGAUGGUAUCAGUCUUGAAAUCACUGAAUCCGUCAAACAGAUUUCCAUUUUUUACUGGUAUUAGAGUGGUUGAGUACAAUCCUGGCUGUCGACUGUGGCUAUCAAGAAUGUGACUAUAAAUGAUAAUUUCCUCCCCCAUUUUCCUGAGAGGCUAAUUAUGCCAGGUGUGCUCGUGGUUGAGGAAGCCUGGAAAGGUAAAGCUAGACAACAUCCUACCUAGAGCAAAGGAUUCAAUAUGCAAGAUGUUAUAGGUUUUUGUAUUUAUAAGUGUUGGAUCGUUCUUCCUGCUAAAGGCAAUCUGCAACAUUAACUAGGGACCAUCUUAUAAUGCUCAUUGGGUUCAUGAUACCCCUGUCCUUUCUAAUGUUUAAGCCAAGCUGAGGCAGCUCCUAAUUGAUCUUGGAAAUGAUGAUAAAAUACUUGGAAUCUAGCCAAGGAAAGCGGAAGAGAAGAAGCAGCGAGUAUUAAGUUGUGAAAUACAGCGUGUUUGAGCCCUUCUGAUGGCUUCAAAUCGACCACACUAAAUUAGGUUAUCCGGUAAGGGAAUUACAAUUACAGGCUCAAUUUUGAGGUCAAUGCUUUCUUGCAAAUUUGUUCUUGACAUGGAUGAGUAAAACAUAUGGAGCGGACCUUUAUUUUUAA